rnacentral:rRNA from 1 species
UCCGUAGGUGAACCUGCGGAAGGAUCAUUAGUGAAACACAAGAGUGCUCUUUAUUGAGGCUCGUUUUAACUAUCCAUUACACUUAGUGCACUUGAAAACACCUUCAAACUCGUUCAUCCCUUUUAACGGGGAUAACUCGUUUGAUUGUAUUUACUUUAACCCCUUUGAAAUUUUAAACAAAGAUGAUGAUGUAUAACCAUGAAAUUUGAAAGAACAACUUUCAGCAACGGAUUUCUUGGCUCUCGCAUCGAUGAAGAACGCAGCGAAAUGCGAUACGUAAUGUGAAUUGCAGAACUCAGUGAAUCAUCGAAUUUUUGAACGCACCUUGCGCUCUCUAGUUAUUCUGGAGAGCAUGCUUGUUUGAGUGUCGCGAACCUCUCAACCCCGCCAAAGGCUUUAUUGACUUUGGUUGUUUGGGCUUGGAUCAUGGUCUCUUGUUGUGACUUUUGUUAGAAACAACUGGACUGAAAUACAACAAGUUGGAUAAACCCUAUUGCGGCUUGACCUGAUGUUGUAACUUACUCAUCGGGGACGCGAAAGGUUGUUUAAGGAACUUUAACAGAAACCCUUAUGUUGUUUAAAGUCUUUCGGGACUCUAUUCAAUACAUUUAUGACCUCAAAUCAAGUAGGACUACCCGCUGAACUUAAGCAUAUCAAUAAGCGGAGGA